rnacentral:lncRNA from 1 species
UUCAGUCCUCGAGACCGUUAUUGUUCAUCCGACACAAUACUCCCUUGCUCACUGAAUUGACAUAUGAGACCUCCUAGGCGCAAUAUUUCGACGCUUAUCUUGUCUCCAAUCCUCUGACCUCUACUUAUUGCGACAUCUCGUCGCCUCCCCCACAGACGGCUUCUAACCGUCAUAUGACAUCAGUUUCAAAACCGCUGUCGAC